rnacentral:rRNA from 1 species
UACGUAGGGUGCGAGCGUUUGUCCGGAAUUACUGGGCGUAAAGAGCUCGUAGGUGGUUUGUCGCGUUGUUCGUGAAAACUCACAGCUUAACUGUGGGCGUGCGGGCGAUACGGGCAGACUGGAGUACUGCAGGGGAGACUGGAAUUCCUGGUGUAGCGGUGGAAUGCGCAGAUAUCAGGAGGAACACCGGUGGCGAAGGCGGAUCUCGUGGGCCAUUACUGACGCUGAGGAGCGAAAGCGUGGGGAGCGAACAGG